GACGAACGCUGGCGGCGUGCUUAACACAUGCAAGUCGAACGGAAAGGCCCUGCUUUUGUGGGGUGCUCGAUUGGCGAACGGGUGAGUAACACGUGAGUAACCUGCCCUUGACUUUGGGAUAACUUCAGGAAACUGGGGCUAAUCCCGGAUAGGAGCUCCUGCUGCAUGGUGGGGGUUGGAAAGUUUCGGCGGUUGGGGAUGGACUCGCGGCUUAUCAGCUUGUUGGUGGGGUAGUGGCUUACCAAGGCUUUGACGGGUAGCCGGCCUGAGAGGGUGACCGGCCACAUUGGGACUGAGAUACGGCCCAGACUCCUACGGGAGGCAGCAGUGGGGAAUAUUGCACAAUGGGCGGAAGCCUGAUGCAGCAACGCCGCGUGCGGGAUGACGGCCUUCGGGUUGUAAACCGCUUUCGCCUGUGACGAAGCGUGAGUGACGGUAAUGGGUAAAGAAGCACCGGCUAACUACGUG
rnacentral:rRNA from 1 species